CGAAAACACUUUAUUUUUAAUAAGUUAUGCUGCAUAAUCAAAAUAUGAAUAAUCGAACCAGCGAGUGACAAAUACUAUAUAACUAUGUGACAUUUUCUGUGUUUCAAUAUUUAAAUAAAAUAAAUAAUCUAAUUUAAUAACUUCAAAAAUUAAUCAAAAUGUCACAGAAGCUAAAAAAAUUAAAAAAGAAGUCACAUGGCCGAGAAAUAAAAAGAGAAAAGAAAAGAAAGAGAAGAGGGAAGUUGGCGAGAGAAGUGGAGAAGCAGAAAGGGUGGUGAAGGUAGAUCUACUGUUUGAUUGGGAGCAGUAAUGGGGAAGGUGGAUGCAAAUGGAGAUGCCACAAAGCAGCAGCAGAAAAACAAGAGGGUGAAUAGAAACCACGGUUCCACCAAGUUCUUUGUGUUUGUCGAUUAUGUUUUCCUUUUCGCGUUCUUCUGUUUUCUCUGCUACUUUCUCUUCAAAAUUGCCGGUAUUUGAAUUAUCCAGGUUAAUGACAAUUAGCUAUAUCCAAAUCAAGACAGUCCAAGCUCUUAUGACACAGCCACUGUUUUUUUUUUCCAGUUUAGAGUUUGUUUUCUUCUUGGACUCAGAUAUCUAGAAGUCUUUGCGCUGGUGUUAUAUGUCAAAUGCUUCUGUGCCACAUGACUUACCUAUUUACAGUACUUAAUGUCUAUAGCAUAUAUGUAACAUUGAGUAUAGAUUUUUUGGGUGUGCUUGAUCACACAAUUUACAUGUGGAUACAACACUGAAAUUCUGAUGUUCAAUCAACAAAUAUAUCUCCACUGAUUUGAAAUCA